UUCAAACACACACAAACUCUCUCAACAUCUUCAUAUCUUCAUCCAUAUCAUCAAGAACACCUUCAAAAAAAAACCAUCUUAUUUAAUCACUUUCUUUGAUGAUCAAUAUGGAGUUUCAUGGAACCUAAGAAGAUCUAAAGCACUUACAAGCUAAAGCAACCUUUUUCAUCCAUUCAAGAACCUUCAUGCAUCAAGAUCUUCAUCUUCUUUGUUUCUUAACAUCAUCUAGAUCAUCCCUAGCCUAGAGCUAGAAGUCGCAACACUGUUCAGGACUACCGCACGUGAAAUCAUAUUUACUUCUACUCACUGACGCGAUACUGGAAUUAGUGGACCUUGUCAGGGAUUCUAAUUCAAGAAACAAGUAUCAAGACUCCAUGCCAUCUUUUGAAGGGUUUAUCUAUUAUACUGCCGCUUUGCGGUGGCAUAGUGGACAAAGCCUUAAUGUUUAAAACUUUCGUUUUG